rnacentral:rRNA from 1 species
GUCCUACGGGAGGCAGCAGUGGGGGAUAUUGCACAAUGGGGGAAACCCUGAUGCAGCGACGCCGCGUGAGUGAAGAAGUAUUUCGGUAUGUAAAGCUCUAUCAGCAGGGAAGAAAAAAGACGGUACCUGACUAAGAAGCCCCGGCUAACUACGUGCCAGCAGCCGCGGUAAUACGUAGGGGGCAAGCGUUAUCCGGAUUUACUGGGUGUAAAGGGAGCGUAGACGGAAAGGCAAGUCAGAAGUGAAAGCCCAA